CCUACGGGAGGCAGCAGUGAGGAAUAUUGGUCAAUGGUCGGGAGACUGAACCAGCCAAGCCGCGUGAGGGAUGAAGGUACAGAGUAUCGUAAACCUCUUUUGUCAGGGAACAAAGGCGGGGACGUGUCCCCGGAUGAGUGUACCUGAAGAAAAAGCAUCGGCUAACUCCGUGCCAGCAGCCGCGGUAAUACGGAGGAUGCGAGCGUUAUCCGGUUUUAUUGGGUUUAAAGGGUGCACAGGCGGUCUGUUACGUCGGCGGUAAAAGCCCGGGGCUCACCCCCGGCCCGCCGUUGAAACUGGCAGUCUCGAGUUGGAGAGAAGUAUGCGGAAUGCGCGGUGUAGCGGUGAAAUGCAUAGAUAUCGCGCAGAACUCCGAUUGCGAAGGCAGCAUGCCGGCUCCACACUGACGCUGAGGCACGAAAGCGUGGGUAUCGAACAGGAUUAGAUACCCCUGUAGUC
rnacentral:rRNA from 1 species